rnacentral:rRNA from 1 species
AGUUUGAUUCUGGCUCAGAUUGAACGCUGGCGGGAUACUUUACACAUGCAAGUCGAACGGCAGCACGGACUACGGUCUGGUGGCGAGUGGCGAACGGGUGAGUAAUGUAUCGGAACGUGCCCUGGUAACCGGGGAUAACUACGCGAAAGCGUAGCUAAUACCGCAUACGCCCUUCGGGGAAAGCGGGGGACCUUCGGGCCUCGCACUAUUAGAGAAGCAAACCGAUAUCGGAUUAGCUAGUUGGUGGGGUAACGGCUCACCAAGGCGACUGAUCCGUAGCUGGUUUGAGAGGACGACCAACCACACUGGGACUGAGACACGGCCCAGACUCCUACAGAGGAGGCAGCAGUGGAGAAUUUUGGACAAUGGAAACUGGAAUUCCCAGCCAUCCCGCGUGUGCGAUGAAGGCCUUCGGGUUGUAAGCACUUUUGGCAGGAAAGAAACGGCACGGGAUAAUACCCCGUGCAACUGACUAUUACCUGCAGAAUAAGCACCGGCUAACUACGUGCCAGCAGCCGCGGUAAUACGUAGGGUGCAAGCGUUAAUCGGAAUUACUGGGCGUAAAGCGUGCGCAGGCGGUUCGGAAAGAAAAGAUGUGAAAUCCCAGAGCUUAACUUUGGAACUGCAUUUUUAACUACCGAGCUAGAGUGUGUCAGAGGGAGGUGGAAUUCCGCGUGUAGCAGUGAAAUGCGUAGAUAUGCGGAGGAACACCGAUGGCGAAGGCAGCCUCCUGGGAUAACGCAGCGCUCAUGCACAGCGUGGGAGCAAACGGGAUUAGAUACCCUGGUAGUCCACGCCCUAAACGAUGUCAACUAGCUGUUGGGGCCUUCGGGCCUUGGUAACAGCUGCAUGAAAAUUGACACCUGUAGAGAAGGCCUACGGUCGCAAGAUUAAACUCAAAGGUGACGGGGACCCGCACAAGCGGUGGAUGGUAUGGAUUAAUUCGAUGCAACGCGAAAAACCUUACCUACCCUUGACAUGUCUGGAAUCCCGAAGAGAUUUGGGAGUGCUCGCAAGAACCGGAACACAGGUGCUGCAUGGCUGUCGUCGCUCGUGUCGUGGGAUGUGGGUUAAGGGAUCCGCAACGGCGCAACCCUUGUCAUUAGUUGCUACGAAGGGCACUCUAAUGGGACUGCCGGUGGGCUCGGCUCGGGGGGAAGGGUGCGGGGAUGACGUCGGGAUCAUAAGGGCGGUUUUUAGCGUAACGGUUUAGAUUUAUAAGACGAUUAAAUAUAUAGGUAAGUUAAAAAGGUUCGGGGAGUUAAUUUAUUAUUUAUAUGGGGAUUUAUUAAUCAUUUUAUUUAUAUAAGUAGGAUAGGAUGGGUGGGCGGGGGGCCGGAAUAUAGGUAUAUUAGGGGAUAAAUAGUAGUAAAGAGUUCGAUUUAUAUUAAAUAGGGUAGGAUUAGGAUAGAGUUGAAGAAAACAAAAAAAAAAAAAAAUUAAAAAAAUAGAUAGAUUAGGGUUAAAAAAAACAAAGAUUGAUUUAUUUUUAUUUAGAUAGAUUUAUUAUAUUAAAUUAUUAUUUUUAGAAUUUAGGUGUUUAAACAGAUUAUUUAUAAAUAUAUUGUAGAGAUAUUAUGCUUGUUCUUUUGCA